AGAGGACACACCAAGCCCUUGGCGUCCCUCUCUCUCCCGUUACUCCGUAGUUCCACCGCCUCAUCCCGGCGACGCUUAGUGAAGCGCUGUCGGUGCUCCACCACCACCAUCACCACCACGCCGUUGUGCUGGUUGUGAUCCUAUCUACUUAUCCUCUCCCGCUUGCUGGAUCAAGAAGGAGGAGUCAUCAUCGAGCCGCACGUGUGCAACCAAUGUUAUCCGAUUUCUAUUUUGAAACUCUAAGAGGGAUCCUAAACAAAAUUUUAACUCCACAAGGUCACCAAGCUCUGCGAUUUGGGGGCGGACCACACUGUUUGUUCAGUGAGUUGGGCGCAGCGUGGCACCCACCUAUUUGUAGGGACUAACCAAGGCACCGUUCAGGUUUUCAUCUUGCUCCCGUCUGAAAUUGAUCAAAUGGCAUGUUCAGGGUUCAUCAAAGUUUAGGAUGAUACUUCAGUUUAUUUUUACCCAAAGCUUCAACUCAAACAACAAAUAGUACAGAGUACACGCUUGGUUGUGAGAAUGUCACCCGGUUGAUGCGAUAUGAAGUACAUUGUAGAAGUAGAACAAGCAGGAAUUUGAUUCAUCCACUUAUAUAUGCAAUAUGAAGUAUAUAUUGUAGAAGUAGAACAAGUAGAAAUUUGAUUCAUCAACUUAUAUAUGCAAUAUGAAGUAUAUAUUGUAGAAGUAGAACAAGUGCUGCCAUGUUCAAUUUGUUAUGACACAGAGGCUGAAAUAUAUACCCGUCGCUAUCCUUUGAAAUAAUGCCGACUUAGGAACUCCAUACUGAAAAACAUAUUCGUCGCUAUCCAGCUGAAGGUUAUAUAAUGUUUUGAGUUCUAGCGCUUUAGAUUCUGUGGUUCCAGCUUCUUUGUGUAAGAUCUCCACUUCCUCAUUGUCAUCUGUUUCAGUUGCGGCAAUCAAUUCUGCUCUAGCAGCACAGGAGUCCAGCCAUAGCCUUUUGUAACUUGCCAUGGCUGACUCUUGUUCUCUGAGCGCAAUAAGCCCUUCGCAAUCCUGUAUCUGGUCAGUGGUUGCUGCGAUAUCCUUUUCUAUAACCUCUAGAUCACUACCAGCUUUAUCCAACGUCUUAUAUUAAGGUACGGAGGGACUAAUUGCCAACAUAGUUCAGGUUUUCCCUUACAGUAUCUUUUCUAUCAGAAUUUGUGGUUUUAGUUCAUAUGUCAUCUGUUAGAGCAAAAAACACGAGGUUAUUCAGGUUGAGUCCCACUCAAAUUGCUUGAUUUUGGGUUCUAAUUAUGGGCAUUGAUAAAUUCAAAACAGAUAGCUUGCUUAGAGGAAUCCCACAUGGACGAUGUAACACAUGUAUGCACAUUCUAUAGAGUUUUACAUGUGCAUGUGAUUUUACAGUGGAAAUUAGUGUUAUCGCAUACUUUUGUUUUGUUAACUUUUUUGCUGGCAUUACUGUCUAAAAUAUUUAGAUGUUGGUCUGGAGCACCACUCAGAGGCCUUGUUGUCGAGUGGGAGGAUCAGAAGUAGUGGGAGGUGAUGCCGAGUAUUGUCGUAUAUUUUGCCUUUUUCAUGUCAUUUUUGUUUAGCAGAUGAUAUAUUGGUAAUUGCUUGAUGACUAUUUGGAUCACUGAAAUGGCUAAUUACUUCAUGUAUAUGAUUUAUUUGUUGGUCUCAUAUAACCCCUUUCUCUGUUUCAGAUUUCUUUGGGAGGGGGCCCUGGUGGAUGUGUGCUAUUUUGCGGAUGUAGGCUGAGGGGGGAUUUGUAUCUGCCAUGGUUGGGGUGGAAUAGAUUGACUUGGUUUUCAGGAUUUUGUGAUCCGGUCAGCCGAUCUGCUGCAUAAAAAAAAUAUUGGACCAUUCUAUACUCUUGGCUGCUUCUCCUUCAGAGUCUAUGCAGUGUGGUAUCCGAGCCAGCGUCAGGUGCGCCAAGCUCGCCGUCCACACGCCUCCUCUUCAUCUGCAUCCGCAGUGCCAAAUCCCUCCCCAUCCGAGCAGUAGAGUAAACUCAUUUCUGCGGCAGUGGAACGAUUAAUGUGCGUCUUCGGCACAUAUGCUGAUGGCCACCGCAACGGCGGGCAGCACGCCGAUCAACACUGAGUUGUUACCAUAAUCAAGGUGGGCGAGAAGAAGAGCUACACCGUGAGGGAAGCCGUUGGCAUGAACGGAUUCGGACAAGGCCGACUCGUCUGGUCUAGUGACACCACGUGGUAGCCUGACCCUGGUGAUGUGGACCUGAGUGUUGCUUUUGAACCAAUAUCAUGUAUGCCAUCUCUCAUGUAAGCUCUAAGACUGCUCCCUGCCGGUUGAUACACACUUGUUAAUAUCUAUGAUGUCAGAGCUCUUGUUUAUUGUUCCA